GAUGAACGCUGGCGGCGUGCCUAAUACAUGCAAGUCGAGCGAACGGACGAGAAGCUUGCUUCUCUGAUGUUAGCGGCGGACGGGUGAGUAACACGUGGAUAACCUACCUAUAAGACUGGGAUAACUUCGGGAAACCGUAGCUAAUACCGGAUAAUAUUUUGAACCGCAUGGUUCAAAAGUGAAAGACGGUCUUGCUGUCACUUAUAGAUGGAUCCGCGCUGCAUUAGCUAGUUGGUAAGGUAACGGCUUACCAAGGCAACGAUGCAUAGCCGACCUGAGAGGGUGAUCGGCCACACUGGAACUGAGACACGGUCCAGACUCCUACGGGAGGCAGCAGUAGGGAAUAUUCCGCAAUGGGCGAAAGCCUGACGGAGCAACGCCGCGUGAGUGAUGAAGGUCUUCGGAUCGUAAAACUCUGUUAGUUGGGAAGAACAUAUGUGUAAGUAACUGUGCACAUCUUGACGGUACCUACACAGAAAGCCACGGCUAACUACGUG
rnacentral:rRNA from 1 species